UGGCAACUGCGUUGCCGGAGCAAAUGUUGAAAGUGCUUUAAAUUGUAGGACUGUUUAUUUGUUGAAGUAAUACAUUGGGACGACAAUACCUUAUCCCACUGUGCAGAGAAGCGUCAUCGCCGGAAAAAGCAGCACAACCACAAAAACAAAACAGCAAAGCAAAGUAUCCCAUCUUUAAUAUGCAUACAUUCUGAUACUUUGAGGUGUGCAGUAUUUCAUACGUGAAACAGGAGCUUCAAAACACCAGAGAGCCGGGAAACCGGAAAACUUACCAGAAACUUGAGCAUUGUCGAAUAAGAGAAGGAGCCCUUGUCACCCGCAGUCGCCAGCGUGAGAGUCUUAGCGUGAG